AAAAAAAGUACUGAGAGAGUGUGCUCAUCCACAAACUCGUCCCUGACACAAAACACGUGUCUUCUAGAAGCCCAAACUUUGAUAUAGACGAAAAUCUUAUUAAUGGGCCUAGCUGGCUAGCUCCAUGUCUUUUCCAUCUUAUUGAUAUUUUUUUUAUCUCUUUUAAACAAAUUAUUAUUGGUACUAGAAGGUCCGGCUGGAUCACCUUCUUUUUCAGGGAGAGCUAAUAAUGUUGUUGAAUUGUAAUUUUUUUUUCUUUGUUGAUUUGUAAGUUAAUUUGGUCUGGUUUUUAUAAUGAGUUCAUUUUUGUUUCUUUAAUAUAAACGGAAUUCAAUUUUGGAA